rnacentral:rRNA from 1 species
AUACGGAGGGUGCAAGCGUUGUUCGGAAUCACUGGGCGUAAAGGGCGCGCAGGCGGUUUGGUAAGUCAGAUGUGAAAGCCCAUGGCUCAACCAUGGAAGUGCAUUUGAAACUGUCAGACUUGAGUACUAGAGGGGAAAGUGGAAUUCCCGGUGUAGAGGUGAAAUUCGUAGAUAUCGGGAGGAAUACCGGUGGCGAAGGCGACUUUCUGGCUAGAUACUGACGCUGAGGCGCGAAAGCGUGGGGAGCAAACAGGAUUAGAAACCCCUGUAGUCC